rnacentral:rRNA from 1 species
GACGAACGCUGGCGGCGUGCUUAACACAUGCAAGUCGAACGAUAAAGCCCCUUCGGGGGUGAUUAAAGUGGCGAACGGGUGAGUAACGCGUGGGCAACCUGCCCCAAAGCGGGGGACAACCCAGGGAAACUUGGGCUAAUACCGCAUAAAGUAGCACGGAGGCAUCUUCGAGCUACAAAAGGAGCAAUCCACUUUGGGAUGGGCCCGCGUAGGAUUAGCUUGUUGGUGAGGUAACGGCUCACCAAGGCAACUAUCCUUAGCCGGCCUGAGAGGGCGAUCGGCCACACUGGGACUGAGACACGGCCCAGACUCCUACGGGAGGCAGCAGUGGGGAAUUUUGCGCAAUGGGGGAAACCCUGACGCAGCAACGCCGCGUGAAGGAUGAAGGCUUUCGAGUUGUAAACUUCUGUUUCGGGGGACGAAGAAGUGACGGUACCCCGGCAGCAAGCCCCGGCUAACUCCGUG